GAAAAUCUGUCUAGGCUUCUCUUCUUGUUUGACUACUUUAUUCCUGGUUUUCCUGAACACCACAAUUCUCAAUCUCUCUCCUCUGCUCUUCCUCAUUUUCGGGGGUUUUGUUUGCUAUAAAAUGUCUGUUGGUGCUCCUUUUCGUCCUUUCUUUUUCCUCGCUCUCCAUUGAAGGCGUGCUGCGUGCUCUGAGCUUAAUCUCCUCCAUUAAAGCAUCUUCUUCAGUUUACAUCGCUAAGAUGGAGCAGGCGAGCAGCAGCAGUGAAACCUCAAGCGGUGGGUAUUUGAUGUGUGUUCAACUUUUUUUCUUCACUUCCGAGCUCUCUCUGAUCCUCCAUUGAAGCAACUUCUGAGCUUUCCUCUCCAUUGAACAGUGGAAUUCGGUUUGCUUAAUGAAUUUUGUGGGUAUUUGAAAAAAUUGAGGAGGAAUUUGAGUUAGCUUUAUUCAAAAACAAGAAGAAAGAGAAUCAUUAAAUGGUAGUUUCCAGUGCCAGAGUUUUCUUCUUUAGAAUUCCUUGACCUUCAUCAUUUACAAAUUUGUAUGCAUUUCUUUAUAUACCAGAGCGGUUUUAGGAAAUUAUAGUACUGAUGUGAAGUAUGAGGAAAGCACCUUGUGUUGUGCAGUCACUUAGUGCAGUUUCAUCGAAUUAUGGUGUGUUCUUGUUGAGUUUGAAGUUCUAAAUUGCAUUGAAAUUUCGCCAUAAUAUGCUUAUAGUGUGUUAUUUGUUGUUACAUAGGGUGUCUAUCUUAGAAUGGGUGUAAUUUUACACACUCUCACAUUUGCCUCCCAAUGUGGUCAGCUCAUGAGUAAAUGGGGAGGGGAAUUUGAAAGCGUGCAAAAGUGUAAAACUACACUCGGGUGUAGGAUGGAAAUUGCAGCUGUUACAUGGGUGGUAGUUGUGACGACAGAAUGGGUUUUCCAACUCAAAAGUACUGUAUUUACUUACAAGAAAAAAGAACUAUUUGAUUUACUUGGUAUACGAUAUACUUAAGGUAGUUCCAUGUCAAGAGAGUUUUAGUAAGUUUACUAUGUUAUGGAUUGCACAUUUGAGGAUUUCUGCUAUAUAAUAGGUAUAAUCCAAGGUGGAUCUUUGUUCAUCGUUCACUGAACGAAAUGCAAUCAAUCCAUAGAGCAUUGGGUUUGCUUGGCCUACCUGAACUCAAGCAGUACUUUGUCAAAUUCAACCUAAUGAGCUGAGAUAUUGUCUGCUACUUCACUCUCAUCUAGCUUUAAUGUUACCUCAUUCUUAAUAUCUGCAUUUAUAACUAUGAAAAGUAGGAUUCUUUUUAGUUUUAGCCAGUGCUAUCAUUUUUGAUGUUUUCGAUAUAAUGAAGUCAUUUCUAAUUUAUUUAUAAUCCAUGAUUUUGUCCUAAUAAGCUUUAUUUUACUCAGGCUUGCGCUUUUCCCGUGAGAUGCUAGAUAACUUUAUUAAGAUAAUCCUGAAUGUACACUUAGAGUGUUUAUGGUUUAUGCUACUGUUUAUUUAUUUUUUUUGGUGAGUGUAGAAGAAAAGUAAUUACGGUCAAGGAAAACGGAGGCCUAAUAUCGAACUGGUGUGCCACAAAGGGAGAAAAGUGAUUGAAAUUAUGGAGGUGGUGGUCUCCAUUAUAUCAUCGGGAUUUACCAACCUCUAGAAGGAGAAGAAGUUAAAAGUGGAGAAAGAAAGCAAGCAGAAUCUGAUGAAAAAGUACAUUGCCGCAGCAAAACGGUUGGAUAAUGGAGUUGUGAAUGGAGUAGCAGCGGUGAAAUCUAAGGGCGGUGGCUCAACAAUCAGAGGACUUGGAAAGAAACUAUGGGAAUGAAGAGAUACCUUAUGAGCAAGUUUCUAAGUAAGAGCCAUUUGAAAUCAAAUUCAAUCGAAAACCUGCGGAAAACCCAGAAAUAAACAAAAAUUAAAUCAGUUAGCUUUCAAAUAAAAGGAAAAUGAUAUGAAUCGAAAUACAGGAGAAAUUCUUUGACUAACACCACAAAACCAAAAUAAAAAUCCCAAAAUUAUACUAAAGGAAUUACUGAUUAAAUUCUACUUCAAUUAAUGAUCAUGGCACAAACCAUGUUUUUAUUGUGGCAGAGGGUCUGUGCUCAAUGAUGAGAAUAAGGUCUGGUGCUCAAUGAUGAUAAUCAUUAGAUAAUAGUUGCCUAAGAUACAAUUGUUCUUGAGUGAUUUUGAUAUUGUCUCUCAGGAAUUUGUCAUGAAUUUACAACCUUCUAAAGCUGAAGCAGGCAUUGACAUUCAGGCUCCGCCUACAACUGAUCAGAAAUCACUUGAAAGGAAUAUUGCCGAGGAUUGGGCUCCUGCUUCAUGCAACAUUACAUUUGAGGACUUGGGAUUUGUUUUUUCUAAAUGAAUGAAGCAUAUUGUGAAGAUUUUGUGCCUUUUGAGAUAGAAAUUGAUUACAGUGAAGUAGGUUUGAGAAGUAACACCUUAAUCGAAUUCUGAAAUGGAUUAUCAUUUGACUCUCACAUCCUUGUAAAACCAAUUCGCUCUUGUUGGGUUGAAUUCCAUGUUCGUUGGUGAGCAUACUCUUUCUAUACCACUAAUUUCAAAAGUGCCCACAAUAAUUCUUGGGGUGGAUGUAUCUCACAGAUCACCAGAGCAUUCUGAUGUGCCAACAAUUGCUGCUGUUGUUAACUCCAGGGAAUGGUUGUUGAUUUCACGAUACACGGCAUCUAAGGACUCAGUCUCCUAAGGUUGAAAUGAUUGACAAUUUCGUUUCUAAGAUGAAGGCUCUGCUUGAUUUCUAUGUCAGUUCUAGGAAAAGAAAGCCUGAACAUAUUAUCAUAUUUAGGAGUGUAAAUUCCUGGUUGAGAAGUGGAACCCAAAGUUUGUGGUGAUUGUGGCUCAGAAGAAUCACCAUACCAAGUUUUUCCAGCCUAAUGCUCUUGAGAAUGUCCCUCAUUUAAGAAAUAUAAAAGAUGCUACAUGUUUGGCUUUGUUGGUUCUAUUCCAAACUUUAAUGAAAAAUAACUGGUUGUUGGCUUUGUGGGUUAGUUUGAUGUAGCUUCUAAAUUACUAAAUAAAUGUAUUUUUAAUUUACUUUACAUCAUACUUGUACGGUUGUACCCCA